GACGAACGCUGGCGGCGCGCUUAACACAUGCAAGUCGAGCGAGAACCAGACCUUCGGGUCUGGGGACAGCGGCGAACGGGUGAGUAACACGUGGGUAAUCAACCCUCGGUACUGGGAUAGCCCGGGGAAACCCGGAUUAAUACCGGAUGGCCUUUCGGAUCUUCGGUUCUGAAGGAAAAGGUAGCUUCGGCCUCCGACCGAGGACGAGCCCGCGGCGGAUUAGCUUGUUGGUGGGGUACCGGCCUACCAAGGCGGCGAUCCGUAGCUGGUCUGAGAGGACGAUCAGCCACACUGGGACUGAGACACGGCCCAGACUUCUACGGAAGGCAGCAGUGGGGAAUCUUGCGCUAAUGCGGGAAACCGUGACGCAGCGACGCCGCGUGAGGGAAGAAGGCCUUCGGGUUGUAAACCUCUUUCAGGAGGGACGAAGCUACUCGGGUUAAUAGCCCAGAGGGUGACGGUACCUUCAGAAGAAGCCCCGGCUAACUACGUGCCAGCCGCCGCCGUAA
rnacentral:rRNA from 1 species